GGAAAUCACACAACGAUCCUAACCUUCUAGCUACACGCACCAGAGGACCUGAGGUUGCUGCUGCCAGACGGACAUUGUUCCGUCAUGCUCGAGUGAAGCCUACAUGAUUUAAAUCACUACACGGUGUGUGGAAAUCACACACCGAUCCUAACCUUCUAGCUUCACCCACCAGAGUUGGACCUGAGGUUGAUGCUGCCAGACAGACAUGGUUCCGUCAUGCUCGAGUGAAGCCUACAUGAUUUAAAUCACUACACGGUGUGUGGAAAUCACACACCGAUCCUAACCUUCUAGCUUCACCCACCAGAGUUGGACCUGAGGUUGAUGCUGCCAGACAGACAUGGUUCCGUCAUGCUCGAGUGAAGCCUACUACAUGAUUUGAAUCACCACACAGUGAUAAAGAUGCAAUAACUGCUGUACUUCCCGAAGGUUCCGCAAGUAUUGGGUAAACUGAAAUGAUUCGGCGUGGCGUCAAACAAAGCACGUCUAGGUCUGUGAAUGUUUUACAAAAAAACCGUCAAAUAAUAUGCGACAGCUUUGUGGGGAGCAGUAGAGCACACGUGAGAAAGUUGGUAAGGAAUGUAUGGUGAAAAUGACUGCAGCUACGAAAGGAGAGACACGUACAUCCGCACACGUACAGAAGUUAUGUAUUUAUGUCGUAAGAUGUAGCCAUUUGGGCAAUGACUGAUAGAGAAGUUUUUGUUUUGCUCCUGAUAGAGAAGUGUAAUUUCGACCGAUUUUGUUCUGAUUUUUACAGCUCAAAAUGUCAAAGCUGCUUUUGUAACAGGAGCGAAGGACACAUCAGAAGGUAGCUUUAAACUCCCGGCACGCGAUCCUGUUACCUUCUGAACGGGGUACCCUCCUGGUUUCGCAACGAGAUAGGUGAGGCGAUUCGCAAGUCGAUUAGUGUGAUUAAGGGAGCGUUGUACGGGAUCGAAAAAAAACUUAAGUGACCAGUGAAUGUUAGAGCAUAAAAGUUAUGUACAAUAGAAUUUAUAUCUUAUACAGUGACAUAUUGUAAUGGAAAA